rnacentral:rRNA from 1 species
AACGCGAAGAACCUUACCUGGGUUUGACAUCCUCGGACCGGUGUGGAGACACAUCUUUCGUAGCAAUACGACCGGGAGACAGGUGCUGCAUGGCUGUCGUCAGCUCGUGUGGUGACAUGUUGGGUUAAGUCCCGCAACGAGCGCAACCCUUGUCUUUAGUUGCCAGCAUUCAGUUGGGCUCUCUAAAGAGACUGCCGUGGUUAACACGGAGGAAGGUGGGGAUGACGUCAAGUCCUCAUGGCCUUUAUAUCCAGGGCGACACACGUGAUACAAUGGACGGUACAGAGGGAAGCGAAACCGCGAGGUGGAGCCAAUCUCAAAAAGCCGUUCUCAGUUCGGAUUGGAGUCUGCAACUCGACUCCAUGAAGUUGGAAUCGCUAGUAAUCGCGGAUCAGCACGCCGCGGUGAAUACGUUCCCGGGCCUUGUACACACCGAUACUC